UACAGGGGGUGCAAACGUUGCUCGGAAUUAUUGGGCGUAAAGCGCGCGUAGGCGGCCACUUAAGUCGGAUGUGAAAGCCCCCGGCUCAACUGGGGAGGGUCACGCGAUACUGAUCGACUCGAAGGCAGGAGAGGGUAGUGGAAUUCCCGGUGUAGUGGUGAAAUGCGUAGAUAUCGGGAGGAACACCAGUGGCGAAGGCGACUACCUGGCCUGUUCUUGACGCUGAGGCGCGAAAGCUAGGGGAGCGAACGGG
rnacentral:rRNA from 1 species